rnacentral:rRNA from 1 species
CCUACGGGAGGCAGCAGUGGGGAAUAUUGCACAAUGGGGGAAACCCUGAUGCAGCGACGCCGCGUGAAGGAAGAAGGAUUUCGGGAUGUAAACUUCUAUCAGCAGGGAAGAAAAGGACGGUACCUGACAAAGAAGCCACGGCGAACUACGUGCCAGCAGCCGCGGUAAAACGUAGGGGGCAAGCGUUAUCCGGAUUGACUGGGGGUAAAGGGAGCGUAGGCGGGGUUGCAAGUCAGGAGUGAAAGCCCGGGGCUCAACUACGGGACUGCUUUUGAAACUGUGUUGCUAGAUUGCAGGAGAGGUAAGUCGAAUUCCUAGUGUAGCGGUGAAAUGCGUAGAUAUUAGGAGGAACACCAGUGGCGAAGGCGGCUUACUGGACUGUAACUGCCGCUGAGGCUCGAAAGCGUGGGGAGCAAACAGGAUUAGAUACCCGUGUAGUC